AGUCUCCAUUUAAACUCYGUUUAACUCUCCUGCGCCUGACUUCCCUGCCACCUAUACACACGACUCUGACAGUAACAGGCAGCUUACUUUGGAAUGCACAGCCAACAACUAUGGUUUGCAUGCCCUGCCGAAAGAUCCAUUCAUGCGGAAUAGGUWGUUGGAAUUUGUUGGUCCCCAGUGGUGGUGAGUAUACUGCUUGUCAGGCAAAACCUCAGAAGAAAGUGCGUCAUGCGACACAAGUACCCACAAGUACCUCCUCUGUUGUUGCCAGGGACACACCAUCACAGACGGCUUCAUCAACAAUGACAGGCCCUCCCAGUCAACACCACCCCAUAAGAUUGCCUGCUGCAGUUAUUCGAGAGAUGUCCAGUUUUCAGCCGAACAUGCAGCAUAAAGAAGACUAGCAAGUGGGCCCUCAUCAGAAUCAUGCAGACAUGACCUCGCUGUGAGCAUUCCUACACUAUGAAUGGAAAAGUCAACCACAUGUUGGCAAGUAUCUGGCCAGCAACCUGCACAUGUCGGUGGCAACAGCUUUCACAGGCUCAUCAUUUGUACAAAUACAGAAUGUAACCCACUUCAUUACUUUGAUUAAUUUGAUAACCCAAUUGUGAAACAUAAUUUAUGUAAACUGACAUUAUUUGUUGCUUAUUUUCUACUUCUUAGAUGCAUGUAAUGUCCAGGGCAUAACCUAGCCUGGUAGAACCAGCCUGAUCGCUGU